UACGUAGGGUGCGAGCGUUGUCCGGAAUUAUUGGGCGUAAAGGGCUCGUAGGCGGUCUGUUGCGUCAGGAGUGAAAACUCGGGGCUUAACCCCGAGCCUGCUUCUGAUACGGGCAGACUAGAGGUAUGCAGGGGAGACUGGAAUUCAUGGUGUAGCAGUGAAAUGCGUAGAGAUCAUGAGGAAGACCAGUGGCGAAGGCGGGUCUCUGGACAGUUCCUGACACUGAGGCACGAAGGCCAGGGGAGCAAACGGG
rnacentral:rRNA from 1 species